AGACAUGCCAACUACACAUUCCUUUGAGGUGAGAAGGAAGACUUCCUUCUAUAAUACACUAGAAAGGAUUAGAGAGGAAGCUGGGUAAGAGCAAAGAUGACGUGAUCUUAAGGUUAAAAGCCUCCAAAUUACAGCAGUGAUACUGGUAUACUGGGGAUAGGGUGCAAAGGGGGAAAGUAUAGACAGUUACAGCAGAUAUUUGAAAAAAAAAAAAAAAAAGCUAAUUAUAAGCAAUAAUAUUCUGUGUCUCCAGACUAAACCACCUGAUCACCACUUUUCUCUGAUCUUAGGUUACCUUUCUACACUUCAGGUGAUUGCUAAUAUGUAUAAGUUAACAAUCCAAAUGUCAAUUAACCUCAAACAUUUACCCAUUCUUCUAGGCUGCAUGGUAAAAGGCUAUCAGUAAUGUGAUCUUUUAUUAAAGUCAACAAUAAGCAAAGUCAAAAUAAUAAAAAAUAAAAUAGAAUACAAAGAAGCUGAUUAAUCAUCAGCACUAAAAUUCACACUAUGUUGAUUUGAGAAGAGGUAAGGACAGUGUGAAAUAAAAUAAAGUAGUUGUGUGGCUUUUACACCACUAAGAAAAGCUAUCAAAAACAUUGUGAAAGGAUUUUAUGUUCUACUGCAUUUGUUUUCAGGAAAGAGGAUAACCAGAAG